GGCUAACGCUGGCGGCGUGUCUUAGCCAUGCAAGUCGAGCGGACUUAUGGGGUAACUUAUAAGUCAGCGGCGGACGGCGGAGUAACACGUAGCUAACCUACCCUCUGGACGGGGAUAACCUACCGAAAGGUGGGCUAAUACCCGAUGUAGUCAUCCUGUAUAGGGGUGAUGAAAGGUGGGCUUCUGUUUACAAGCUCAUGCUGGAGGAGGGGGCUGCGGCCUAUCAGGUAGUUGGUAGGGUAAUAGCCUACCAAGCCGAUGACGGGUAGCCGGCCUGAGAGGGUGACCGGCCCGAGGGGCACUGAGAUACGGGUCCCACUCCUACGGGAGGCAGCAGGCUAGAAAUUUGGGCAAGUGGGGGAAACCCUGACCCAGUGACGCCGCGUGCAGGAAGGAGCCCUUCGGGGUGUAAACUGCUGUCGUGUAGGGAGAAGGGUACUAAGGUGAACAAUCUUAGUACUUGACGGUACUACAGGAGGAAGCCCAGGCUAACCUCGUG
rnacentral:rRNA from 1 species